rnacentral:lncRNA from 1 species
ACAGUAACAGAGAAACCCGGAGGUGGGAUGGGAAAACUUUAUUAGGUUUGGUUUCCAGCUUCGGCCACGCGGGCUCCGCCCGCCCCGAGCUCGGGUCACGGGGCGCCCCCGCCGCCCUCCUCGUCGUCCUCCACGUCGAGGCCCGGGAUGCUGCGCCGGCACGCCCUCUGCGCCCUCCGAGAUCCCUGCCGCUUCGCCCUGCGCCCCCUCGUCCAGGGCACCGCCCUCAGCCUCCUCCUGCUCCUUCUCCUCCUCGGGGCUGUCGGUGAAAGGGUUCUCGCCCUGUGGGGAGGGGCGCGGACACUGAAGGGAGGGAGCACAGGCGGGGACUAAGCUGGGGACAGGGCAGGCCCGGACCAGUGCCUCACCUUCAGGUAGCGCUCCAGCUUCUUGCUGAUGAGCUUGUUGUUGAGAAUACUGCGGGCCACCAUGAGGGAGGACUUCUUGGACUGCUCCAUCAUGAGCUGCGGGCAGGGCAGAAGGAGCUGGAGAGGCUGCUCUGAGUGCCCUACAAGUUGCUGCCCCGACCCUGCCAGCUUAGAGGGACCCCACCCCGCCCCUGCACCCACGCACUUCCAGCCCCACCAACGGAGGGCCACUCCACAAGCAUGGAACCACAACCUAUCUGAUCUUUGUUCAAAUUCCCUCUCCUUCCACACCACACUUACUGUAGGUAAAUAAAAAUACAGAUCUAUAUAUCUCUAACUUUACGGCUGUAUUACAGAAAUCUGAUUUGCUUACAAAAAAGCUAUAAGCAGUGAACAAUUAAGAAACUAAGAGCCAAAGGUGGGUGCAACCUGUAACAAGGUGCCAACUAGGCUAAUAGGCAAGGAGCACUUUGGGGCCAACGGGGAAGAUAUAAAAACAGGAACAGAUAUUUAAUGAAACGUCUUUUUUAACCCACAGAAUUCCAAGAAUGAAGAAUUAUUCCCAGUCAUGCAAGGGUGAAGAGAGUCUUCUCUGCUGGUGGGAGGAUCAACUGUUUCCGUAUUUUUUGGAAAGCAGUUUGACACAAUGUAUGAAAAGUAAAAAUCUGUCUCAUUAAUCCCUUCCCAGAACGUAUCCUAAAUUUAAGAACUGGAAACAUGCGUGCACACUGAUUGUAGUGGUGAAAAAUGGGAAAACACCUAAACGUUCCUCAGUGCAGAAGAGGUUAAAUAAAUCGUACAUUCAAAAGAACAUCAUGCAGCCCUUCAAAUCGGGCUCAUCUCUGCACUGGCAUAAGAAAGGUGUAUAAUAUAGUACUGUCUGCAGAGCAUGCCAGAGCCAUUUUGUCUGGAAGGAUUUCCAUCAAUAUGCUGGGCCAUCUCAUGGUGGGAGUACAGGCAAAUCUCACUUUGAUCAUUAUAAAAACCAUAAGGUAAAAGAAGGAUAUUUUUGGUGGGGUGGGAGAGCCCAUUGAGUCCUUCCCACUCCAUUUACAUGUUUCAGAAAGCCUUCUCACUUGCUGUUUCUACUCUCUCCAUCUUCAUUUUUUUUUUUCCUUAGCACGUUUUCUCUACUACUGGAGGAAAAUAUUAACAGACAUCAUACAUGCUCACAAUAAACUAAAGAUACACAAUUAGGAUACUACUAUAGACCGUUCCCCCAGUGACUCUCACUUGCCAACAGUUUAUCCUCCUGGUUCUAGAUGCCCAGAUAACCACACCAUAAAUUCUCCCAAGUGAGGCACAUUUAUGUUGCUUCCAGAUCUUCUCCACAAUAACCCAGCAACACUAGAAUAAACUUGUACACUUCCAUGCUGGUGCUUUUCAUUCUAACCAGGUUUGGUUUCAAAGUGAUAGUGCCCAAUUAACUGCAGAACAUUUGCAAGUCAUGCUUCUUCCACCUGUGUUAAAACAAUGACCUGGUCCUCCUGCCUGCCCAUCAGCACUGGAUGUUGUCACUGUUGGGUAUUUUUGCUGUGGAUAAAAGACAGAAGAAUCUGUGCUGCUGCCUCCCACGGCAUUUCCCUGCCCACCGGCGAGUGAGUGCUCUGGUAAGCACACUGGAACACCCGCCCACAGUUUAUAAUUUUCUAACUAUUUUCUGAUCUUGGUUUUCAUUUUUCACAUUUAAAUUUUUUUUUUUUUUUUUUAAGACAGUCUCGCUCUGUCGCCCAGGCUGGAGUGCAGGGGCUCUCAGUUCACUGCAACCUCCGCCUCCCAGGUUUAGGCAAUUCUCAUGCCUCAGCCUCCUGAGUAGCUAGGACUACGGGCACGCACCACCACACCCAGCUACUUUUUUGUAUUUUUAGUAGAUACAGGGUUUUCCUAUGUUGCCCAGACUGGUCUUGAGCUCCUGAGCUCAGGACCUCCACCCAUCUCGGCUUCCCAAAGUGCUGUGAUUACAGGCGUGAGCCACCACGCCCAGCCAAAUUUUCUAGAAUUUGAUACAGAUUGAGUAUCCCUUAUUCAAAGUGCUUAUGACCAGAAGUCUUUCAGAUUUUGAUUUGCAUUAUACUUACCAGUUGAGCAUCCCUACUCCAAAAACCCAAAAUCUGAAAUGCUUCAAUGAGCAUUUACUUUGUCAUGUCUGUGCUGAAAAAGUCAGAUUUUACUGGGCACAGUGUCUCGUGCCUGUAGUCUCAGCUACUCUCAUGAGGCUGAUGCAGGAGGAUUGCUCAAGUUCAGGAGUUCAAGGCUAUAGUGUGCAAUGAUUUCACUUGCGACCAGCCACUGCACUCCAUCCUGCACAACAUGGCAAGACUCAAUUCUUUUUUCUUAAAGAAAAAGGUUUUGGAUUUCGGAGCAUUUCGGAUUUUCAGAUGACGGAUGAACUCAAUCUGUAUAUGUUAUGAGGUAGAGGGUCCAAAAUUUUCUUUUCCAGAAAUGUACAAAACACACCAUUUAUUUCCCUACCAAAUUGGCAUAUAGGUCUACCAUCCCUUAUCUAUAAACUGGAAAUCCAAAAGGCUCUAGAAAACAAGUCUUCCCCCAAAAUUCAUUUGGUGGCUAAAUGUGAACUGACAUUACAUUUUUCAUUUAUAUGUAAGUCAUGUGAAGAAUUAUUUGUGACUCAACUACAAGGCGCUUUCCCCAGAUCCUGUUGGAGAGGUUAGUGCUAAUACCAUAUUGUCUUUCUUUUUAUUUUAUUUUAGAGAUAGGAGUCUCACUCUGUUGCCCAGGCUGCACUGCCAUUGUGUGAUCACGGCUCACUGCAGCCUCAAACUCCUGGGCUCAAGUGAUCUUCCCAUGCUAGCCUCUUGAGUAGCUGGGACUAUAGGCACUCACCACCAUGCUUGGCUAAUUUUUUAUUUUUUGUAGAGACGAGAUCUCACUAUGGUCAGGAACUCCUGGGCUCAAGCAAUCCCACCUAAGCCUCCCAAAGUGCUGGGAUUGCAGGUGUGAGCCACUGCCCCCAGCCUUGCAUAUUGGUUUUCUGAAGCUGAAAAAUUAAUUCUGAGGCUUCUGGCCCUAAGGUUUCAGAUAAAAUAUCUGUACUAACUUUAACAAAUUACUAAGUCUGAAAUAUACUGAGAUCUUUUGCUAGACUCUCUAUUCUGGUUCCACUGUUUCAUUACUGUGCUAAUUAUCACUUUUUUUGUUUUUUAAUUGCAGCAGCUUUGUAGUAAGUUUUAGUAUUUCUGAAAUCAAUCUCUCAGCUAUUGUUAGACUGAAUUUUACAAUGUAAAACUUUAAAAUAAUUUCAUUUCAUUCAGUCCUACUCCCCGACUGAUAUUUUUGACUAGAAAUGUGCUGUCUAUAUUAAUUUGGAGAGAACUGGUUUUUGUUUUGUUUCACUAUUAAAUUGCCUAUUUAAGAACACAGAACAUUCCUCCAUUCAUUAAGGUCUAUUUCUUUUUUUUUUUUUUUUUUUUUUUGAGAUGGAGUCUUGCUCUGUUGCUCAGGCUGAAAUGCAGUGGCAUGAUCUCAGCUCACUGCAACCUCCACCUCCAAGGUUCAAGCAAUUCUCUGCUUCAGCCUCCCAAGUAGCUGAGAUUAUAGGCACCCACCACCCCACCCGGCUAAUUUUUUGUAUUUUUAGUAGAGACAGGGUUUCACCAUCUUGGCCAGGCUGGUCUUGAACUCCUGACCUAGUGAUUCACCUGCCUCCGCCUCCCAAAGUGCUGGGAUUAUAGGCGUGAGCCACCGUGCCCGGCUAAGGUCUUAUUUCAUAUCCUUGGAGUAUUUGCAGUUCUUAAAAGAUCUCAAGCCUUUCUUCUUCCCUCCCUGUUUUUUUUUUUUUUGAGACGGAGUUUUGCUCUUGUUGCCCAGGCUGGAGUGCAAUGGCGCGAUCUUGGCUCACUGCAACCUCCGCCUCCCAGGUUCAAGCGAUUCUCCUGCCUCAGCCCCCUGAGUAGCUGAGAUUACAGGCGCCCACCACCACGCCCAGCUAAUUUUUUGUAUUUUAGUAGAGACAGGGUUUCAUUAUGUUGGCCAGGCUGGUCUCAAACUCCUGACCUCAGGCAAUCCACCCGCCUCAGCCUCCCCAAAGUGCUGGGAUUACAGGCAUGAGCCACCAUGCCUGGCCCUCAAGUCUUUCUUCUUAAAUCUGUAUUCUUAGCUAUUUCAUACAUUGUGUGGUUAUUUUAAGUAGUUUUUUUUCCAUUUAAAUUUCUAACUGGUUAAUACUAGAAUAGAGAAACACUACGACUUUUUGUACGCUAUUUUGAAUCCCAUCCCCUUACCAAAUUCUAUUAAUUCUAAGAACAUUUUGCUGGGAUCAUUCAGCUUUUCUAAGAGCAUAAUCACAUUAUUUGCACAUAAAGAGAGUUUGCAUUAUACCAAUAAUAUUGCUAGAUUUUUUGUUUUUGUUUUUGAGACGGAGUCUCGCUUUGUCGCCCAGGCUGGAGUGCAGUGGCGCGAUAUCAGCUCACUGCGAGCUCCGCCUCCCAGGUUCAUGCCAUUCUCUUUUUUUUUUUUUUUGAGACGGAGUCUCGCUCUGUUGCCCAGGCUGGAGUGCAGUGGCGGGAUCUCGGCUCACUGCAAGCUCCGCCUCCCGAGUUCACGCCAUUCUCCUGCCUCAGCCUCCCAAGUAGCUGGGACUACAGGCGCCCACCACCACGCCCGGCUAAUUUUUUGUGUUUUUAGUAGAGACGGGGUUUCACCGUUUUAGCCGGGAUGGUCUCGAUCUCCUGACCUCGUGAUCCGCCCGCCUCGGCCUCCCAAAGUGCUGGGACUACAGGCGUGAGCCACCGCGCCCGGCCUUUCAUGCCAUUCUCUUGCCUCAGCCUCCCGAGUAGCUGGGACUACAGGCGCCCGCCACCACGUCUGGCUAAUUUUUUGUAUUUUUAGUAGAGAUGGGGUUUCACCGUGUUAGCCAGGAUGGUCUCGAUCUCCUGACCUCGUGAUCCACCCACCUCGGCCUCCCAAAGUGCUGGGAUUACAGGCAUGAGCCACCGCGCCCGGCAACUGUUGCUAGAUUUCUUAGGGAACCAUCCCUCCAUUCCAGAAACAAACCUUACUUAUAAUGUAUCAUACAUAGGGAUCACUACUAGAUUGAUAGUUACUAAUAUUUUAUUUAGCACUUCAUUUUAUUUAUUUUUUUGAGACAGAGUCUUGCUCUGUUGCCCCGGCUGGAAUGCAGUGGCACGAUCACAGCUCAUUGCAGCCUCAACCUCCUGGGCUCAGGUGAUCCUCCCACCUCAGCCUCCCAAGUAGCUGGGACCACAGGCCCCAGUACCUGGCUAAUUUUUUUAUUUUUAAUUUUAUAGACACAGUGUCUCACUAUAUUGCCCAGGCUGGUCUUGAACUCCUGGGCUCAAAUGAUCCUCCCACCUCAGUCUCCCCAAGUGCUGGGAUUACAGGUAUAAGCCACUAUAUCCAGCCAACUUUCUUUCUUUUUUUUCUUUUUUUUUUUUUGAGGAGUCUCACUCUGUUGCCCAGGCUGGAGUGCAGUGGCGCGAUCUCGGCUCACUGCAACCUCCGCCUCCUGGGUUCACACCAUUCUCCUGCCUCAGCCUCUCGAGUAGCUGGGACUACAGGCGCCCGUCACUACGCCCGGCUAAUUUUUUGUAUUUUUAGUAGAGAUGGGGUUUCACCGUGUUAGCCAGGAUGGUCUUGAUCUCCUGACCUCGUGAUCCGCCUGCCUCGGCCUCCCAAAGUGCUGGGAUUACAGGCAUGAGCCACCGCGCCCGGCCAAUCCAGCCCACUUUCAUAUCUUUAAUAAUAGUAAACUAAUCUACAGUUUCAUUUUGGUAUCAUCUUUAUCAGAAUUUUGGAAUUAAGGUUUAAGAAGCUUCCUAAAUAUUGAGAGGACAGACUCUAGCAUAGCAGUCUGAGGCGUUCCCUGGAACACUCCCUAGUGAAACUGAUGAAAAGUAUUAAAAAACAACCAUUUAAAGUCUCUGAAAAUGUUCCUAAGGACAUACAGCCCUAUGAGAAAGAUUUAAUGAGGAAAAGCUACUAAAACUCAGUUCCAUGAAGAGUUGUGAUGUCUGAAACACAACCUAUUGCAUCCCUGCCUCCCCCAGCUUAGUGUGAUGGAAACUCCACUCCAGACAGUACAGCCAAGAAGACAGGUCUGCCCGCAUCUACCCAGAUCAUCUCAGUUAAGGGGUAUGAUAUCUUCCCAGGAGGAACAGAAUGUCAGCAUCUAUUUUUCUGAGUUGGAGUUUCACUCUUGGUUGCCCAGGCUGGAGUGCAAUGGCGUGAUAUCGGCUCACUGCAACCUCUACUUCCCGGGUUCAAACAAUUCUCCUGCCUCAGCCUUCCGAGUAGCUGGGAUUACAAGUGCCCGCCACCAAGCCCGGCUAAUUUUUGUAUUUUUAGUAAAGAUGGGGUUUCACGAUGUUGUCCAGGCUGGUCUUGAACUCCUGACCUCAGGUGAUCUGCCCACCUUGGCCUCCCAAAGUGCUGGGAUUACAGGCGUGAGCCACUGUACCCAGCCGGAUGUCAGUAUCUCUCAUCCCGCCCCCAGCUACCUGCUGAUGAGGCUAAGUUCUAGACAAGCAUAGCUGAGAGAGAACGGUUCCUAUCUUCUACCCAGCCACACGCACGUGGAAUGGAGGCUUGACCCUGGGCAUGGCACACUAAGAAUAUAAGGGCUCACAUACCCAUGGCUUGUUCAUAAAGCAGAGGUCCCAUGCCAGGAAAGGCAAACCAAGACCGGAGGCUACAGCCUACUGUACCUCCUCCCAUGUCUCUCCUAAAGUGGCAGAGUCACUCAGAGAGAGGUACUCCAUUGUCUCCAUCCCCAGAGCCUUGGCUCAGAGAUUCUGCCCACAGUGAGAGCACGGCCUUAAAUCAGUAAACUCCCAAUCUCAAAGGAACUGACUGACUUCACUGGCAAGAGUGUUGGGAAGUGCAAGACUAGGGCCUCUCUCAAAAACAAUGGAGACUAGGGAGGAAAAAAAUUAAAAGGACAUUGAUAGCUUUUUUUUUUCUUUCUGAAUAUUUAUUGGAGUUAAACACUGAUAGCUUUGUCCUUUUUUUUUUCCCCCACCACACAGCCAUAAAAAAGAAGGACCGGUAGAUUUGACAGUGAUAUUAGCUAACCCAUAGGCUAACUAGGUUACCAAAGAGGACAAGGACCAGUGAAAUAGCUAAGAACAGACUCCCUGGGUUCAGAAUAAAUCUCAAACAACCACCUCAAAAACCAUCCCUCUUGGGCCUGGCAUAGUGGCUGACGCCUGUAAUCCCAGCACCUUGUGAGGCUGAGGUGGGUGGCUCAUAAGAUCAAGAGUUCGAGACCAGCCUGGCCAACAUGGUGAAACCCCGUCUCUACUAACAAUACAAAAAUUAGCCGGGCGUGGUAGCACAUGCCUGUAAUCCCAGCUACUCGGGAGGCUGAGGCAGGAGAAUUGCUUGAACCUGAGAGGUGGAGGUUGCAGCAAGCCAAGAUCGCGCCACUGCAUUCCAGCCUGGGCAACAGAGCAAGACUCUUGUCUGGGAGAGGGGGCGGGGAGGGGAGGGGAAAAAAAUCCCUAUAAAGGAGCCCAAAUUUAAUUGGAUCAGAUUGGGCAGCAAUCUAUGCCCCAAAACAUUGUUGAAAACAAUAAAGCAAUCAGCCAGCAAUUGGUAGAGUUUAACAGCUGAGUAUGGUCUGGGAAAAAGAGCGAGCCCAUGGCUUCCUCCCUCCAAGACACACCACCAGUUUCAUACUGUGUGAGAAUGAAAGAGACCUAACUAAAAAAAUCUAGCAAGUCACUAAACAAAUAGACAAGCAAAUACAGUAACAAGACCCUGGGAGGGUGGGUGGGGGAUCAGUGCCCAGAGUUGCCACAACAAAUUAUCUAAGAUGUCUAGUUAACAGUGAAAAAUUAUGAGACAUCCAAAGGAAACUCUGACCCAGGCACAGAUGAAAAAGCAGACAAUAGAAACUUCCUGUGACAGUGAACAGAUGUCAAAUUCAACAAACAUUUUAAAGUAGCAAUUGUAAAUAGGUUUAAAGAAAACUCAAGUAGAAGAAGGUAUAAUGACACUGUCUCAUGAAACAAUUUAAACACAGAGAUAGAAAUGAUAAUAAUAAAAUGGUAAAUCUUAGAGCUGAAAAGUACAAUAACGGACACCAAAAAUCCAUUUGAAGGACUCAACAGAUUUGAACUUAAGAAUUAGUGAACUUGGGCCGGGUGCGGUGGCUCACGCCUGUAAUCCCAGCACUUUGGGAGGCCGAGGCGGGCAGAUCAUGAGGUCAGGA